AUUGAACGCUGGCGGCAUGCCUUACACAUGCAAGUCGAACGGCAGCACGGGAGCAAUCCUGGUGGCGAGUGGCGAACGGGUGAGUAAUAUAUCGGAACGUGCCCAGUCGUGGGGGAUAACGUAGCGAAAGCUACGCUAAUACCGCAUACGAUCUAUGGAUGAAAGCGGGGGAUCGCAAGACCUCGCGCGAUUGGAGCGGCCGAUAUCAGAUUAGGUAGUUGGUGAGGUAAAGGCUCACCAAGCCGACGAUCUGUAGCUGGUCUGAGAGGACGACCAGCCACACUGGGACUGAGACACGGCCCAGACUCCUACGGGAGGCAUCAGUGGGGAAUUUUGGACAAUGGGCGCAAGCCAGAUCCAGCAAUGCCGCGUGCAGGAUGAAGGCCUUCGGGUUGUAAACUGCUUUUGUACGGAACGAAACGGCGAGCUCUAAUACAGUUUGCUAAUGACGGUACCGUAAGAAUAAGCACCGGCUAACUACGUGCCAGCAGCCGCGGUAA
rnacentral:rRNA from 1 species